GAUGAACGCUGGCGGCGUGCCUAAUACAUGCAAGUCGAGCGAACAGACGAGGAGCUUGCUCCUCUGACGUUAGCGGCGGACGGGUGAGUAACACGUGGAUAACCUACCUAUAAGACUGGGAUAACUUCGGGAAACCGGAGCUAAUACCGGAUAAUAUAUUGAACCGCAUGGUUCAAUAGUGAAAGACGGUUUUGCUGUCACUUAUAGAUGGAUCCGCGCCGCAUUAGCUAGUUGGUAAGGUAACGGCUUACCAAGGCGACGAUGCGUAGCCGACCUGAGAGGGUGAUCGGCCACACUGGAACUGAGACACGGUCCAGACUCCUACGGGAGGCAGCAGUAGGGAAUCUUCCGCAAUGGGCGAAAGCCUGACGGAGCAACGCCGCGUGAGUGAUGAAGGUCUUCGGAUCGUAAAACUCUGUUAUUAGGGAAGAACAAAUGUGUAAGUAACUAUGCACGUCUUGACGGUACCUAAUCAGAAGGCCACGGCUAACUACG
rnacentral:rRNA from 1 species